GGUGGGUAACGUACCCUGUGCUUUGGGAUAGCGUCCUCCCGAUUUCGGUCGGGAUUUCCGAAAGGGGCGGUAAUACCAAAUAAUAUCAUUUGUCGAUAGGCGGAUGAUCAAAGAUUUAUCGGCACAGGAGCGGCCUGCCUCCUAUCAGCUUGUUGGUGAGGUAACGGCUCACCAAGGCAGCGACGGGUAGCGGGACUGAGAGGUUGGCCCGCAACAUCGGGACUGAGACACUGCCCGGACCUCCACGGAGGGCUGCAGUAACGAAUCUUGUGCAAUGGGCGAAAGCCUGACACAGCGACGCCGCGUGUAGGAGGAAGUCCUUCGGGAUGUAAACUACUGUCAGGGGGAAGAAAGUGCGCUUCGGCGCAUUGAUCUAACCCAGAGGAAGUCACGGCUAACUUCGUGCCAGCAGCCGCGGUAAGACGAAGGUGGCAAGCGUUGUUCGGUAUUACUGGGCUUAAAGCGUGUGUAGGCGGAAAAGUAAGCGUUUCGUGAAAUCCCCCGGCUUAACCGGGGAACUGCGCAACGAACUGCUUUUCUUGAGGCAAGUAGGGGUGCAUGGAACUCUUGGUGGAGCGGUGGAAUGCGUAGAUAUCAAGAGGAACGCCGAUGGAGAAAUCAGUGCACUGGGCUUGUCCUGACGCUGAGACACGAAAGCGUGGGUAGCGAACGGGAUUAGAUACCCCGGUAGUCCACGCCGUAAACGAUGCCUACUAGGUUGUGAAAGUUCUGACACUGGCACAGCCGAAGCAAAAGUGUUAAGUAGGCCGCCUGGGGAGUACGGUCGCAAGGCUAAAACUCAAAGGAAUUGACGGGGGCUCACACAAGCGGUGGAGCAUGUGGAUUAAUUCGAAGCAACGCGCAGAACCUUACCUGGGUUUGACAUGCUUGGAUGCCGCCUCCGAAAGGGGGUCUGGCUGCCCUUCGGGGUGAAACUUGCACAGGUGCUGCAUGGCUGUCGCCAGCUCGUGUCGUGAGAUGUCG
rnacentral:rRNA from 1 species